rnacentral:rRNA from 1 species
UACAGAGACUGCAAGCGUUAUUCGGAUUCACUGGGCGUAAAGGGUGCGCAGGCGGCCGUGUGUGUGAGGCGUGAAAGCCUGGAGCUUAACUCCAGAAUUGCACCUCAAACUGCACGGCUAGAGCAUUGGAGAGGGUAGCAGAAUUCACGGUGUAGCAGUGAAAUGCGUAGAUAUCGUGAGGAAUACCAGAGGCGAAGGCGGCUACCUGGACAAUUGCUGACGCUCAGGCACGAAAGCGUGGGGAGCAAAAGGG